rnacentral:lncRNA from 1 species
GCAUUUUUAUCUUUUAUAUGUGAUGGAUCUCCUAUAAAAUGUAAUGAAAUGGUUAAUAUUAAAGUUGCAACUGCAUCUUGAAUAGGUUCACCAUGUUCAUUAAAUAAAGGUUGAUCCUGAUCAUUUACUUGAACUGCAUUUAAAAUAUCUAAUUGAUCUUUUUCAGUGAGAUGAUAAUCCCACCAUCCUUUUAAUUGUCCUGUAAAUCCCGCAACGAGGAUUUCAGCAACUGCUUUAUCAGAUAUAGGUGACUGGGUUUUAUAAGCAUUUGCAGCCAUGGUCAUUUGUUGCAAAAUACUUAAGAUUUUAUAUUCAGAUAAUCCAUCAAUAUUCCAUUCAUAUAAUGUAUUAGCAUUAUAAUGAAAUUGGGAUAUGUAUGGAGGUUUAUCAAUUAAUCCUAAGUCUGGGGCCC